rnacentral:rRNA from 1 species
UACGUAGGGUGCAAGCGUUGUCCGGAAUUAUUGGGCGUAAAGAGCUCGUAGGCGGUUUGGUAAGUCGGGUGUGAAAUCUCCACGCUCAACGUGGAGGGGCCACCCGAUACUGCCAUGACUGGAGUCCGGUAGGGGAGUGUGGAAUUCCCGGUGUAGCGGUGAAAUGCGCAGAUAUCUGGAGGAACACCGGUGGCGAAGGCGGCCCUCUGGACGGUGACUGACGCUGAGACGCGAAAGCGUGGGGAGCAAACAGG